UUAUCGGAGAGUUUGAUCCUGGCUCAGGACGAACGCUGGCGGCGUGCCUAAUACAUGCAAGUCGAGCGGACAGAAGGGAGCUUGCUCCCUGAUGUUAGCGGCGGA
rnacentral:rRNA from 1 species